rnacentral:lncRNA from 1 species
CUUUCCUUUUGGAGAAGAACUAUUUAUUCUUCCCCUUUUCCUCUCUUCAGGCUGGAGCUGAUCAAAUUGUUCAUGGGCUUCAAUCUGAGCUCUCUUUUAAGUUCCUUCUCUCCUGGACCUUUCUGGACAGCAAAGGACACCUGGGGAUCCACCAGCACCGGGAAACUGCUCUUGAUUUUCCCAGGGAUAGCUUGUGACUCAAAUGCUGCUGCAUCCUGCCUUUGCUGAAACUCCAGUGUGUGUCCAUGUCCCACCUUUCCUGGAUUGUCCACAAGAAAACCAGCUUACAGAAAGAAAGAAGUAAAUCUUUAAAGACUCAAAACUGAAUUCACUGUCAGCUGUCUGUGUGUAUCUCUCAAACUUGUAUCAGAGACUGGGAAAUUUAUAGCAGCAGCUCUGAUUAGAUGGAAUGAAAUAAUGCCACAGAGAUGGAGGUGAGUACUGAAAAUCUUUACCAGGUGUAGAACCUCCUGCUGCCUGUGUGAAUGCACAUGCAUGGACUCCAGCUGGACUUGCUUUCAUCUCCCCAGCCCACCAGACACCUCUCAGGGUCAUGUUUUAACGCCUUGCCUACCUGUGGGGCCGCCUGGUAGGUGAACAUUACAGCAGAGUUCAGACUGCCAGCUUCCAAAUAUCCUGGCAUCCCUUUUUCCCCUGCUGAAUGGCUUUGCUGUGCUCAGCUCAAUGUCCUUUCCUCAUUGUCAGGAC